GGGAAGGCCUUAAAAAAGGCCAGUCGAGCGGGAUCCACCCUUCGGGGUGGUGAGAGCGGCGCACGGGUGAGUAACGCGUACACGACCUACCUCUAACAGGGGGAUAGCCCUGGGAAACUGGGAUUAAUACCGCAUAUUAUUUGGGAUAUAAGUAUUUCAAAUGAAAGCUGAGGCGGUUAGAGAUGGGUGUGCGUCUGAUUAGCUAGUUGGUAGGGUAACGGUCUACCAAGGCGAUGAUCAGUAGGGGGCGUGAGAGCGUGGUCCCCCACACGGGUACUGAGACACGGACCCGACUCCUACGGGAGGCAGCAGUAAGGAAUAUUGGUCAAUGGGCGCAAGCCUGAACCAGCCAUCCAGCGUGCAGGAAGAAGGCCCUAUGGGUUGUAAACUGCUUUUGUCAGGGAAGAAACCUUGGGAUUUACUCCUGAGCUGACGGUACCUGAAGAAUAAGCACCGGCUAACUCCGUGCCAGCAGCCGCGGUAAUACGGAGGGUGCGAGCGUUAUCCGGAAUUACUGGGUUUAAAGGGUGCGUAGGCGGCCAGGUAAGUCAGGAGUGAAAGUUUGCGGCUCAACCGCAAAAUUGCUUUUGAUACUGCCAGGCUAGAAUUAGGAUGAGGUCAGCGGAAUGUGGCAUGUAGCGGUGAAUGCAUAGAUAUGCCAUAGAACACCCAAUUGCGAAAGGCAGCUGGCUAGACCUGGGAUUGACGGCUGAAGGCACGAAAGCGUGGGGAGCGAACAGGAUUAGAUACCCUGGUAGUCCACGCCCUAAACGAUGCUCACUCGACGUAUGAUACUAGAUAUUGUGCGUCCAAGGGGAAACCGUUAAGUGAGCCACCUGGGGAGUACUACGGGGGAGGUUGAAACUCAAGGGAGUUGACGGGGGGUCCGCACAAGCGGGUG
rnacentral:rRNA from 1 species